CGGACGGGUGAGUAACUCGUGGAUAACCUACCUAUAAGACUGGGAUAACUUCGGGAAACCGGAGCUAAUACCGGAUAAUAUUUUGAACCGCAUGGUUCAAAAGUGAAAGACGGUCUUGCUGUCACUUAUAGAUGGAUCCGCGCUGCAUUAGCUAGUUGGUAAGGUAACGGCUUACCAAGGCAACGAUGCAUAGCCGACCUGAGAGGGUGAUCGGCCACACUGGAACUGAGACACGGUCCAG
rnacentral:rRNA from 1 species